AAAUUGUACAAAGUGAAAAUAUCAUGAUCACAAAGGUGGUUUUUCCCAGGGUGAGGCUCAUCCAUUGCACUUGGAAUGUGCUGACCCCUGCGGUUUCCCCAAAUGUGGGAAACUCGACUCCAUAAUUUAUGGUAGUGGGACUGCACUCUCACUUUCCCCU
ensembl:snRNA U1 U1 spliceosomal RNA